GAUGAACGCUGGCGGCGUGCCUAAUACAUGCAAGUCGAGCGAAUGGAUUAAGAGCUUGCUCUUAUGAAGUUAGCGGCGGACGGGUGAGUAACACGUGGGUAACCUGCCAUAAGACUGGGAUAACUCCGGGAAACCGGGGCUAAUACCGGAUAACAUUUUGAACCGCAUGGUUCGAAAUUGAAAGGCGGCUUCGGCUGUCACUUAUGGAUGGACCCGCGCCGCAUUAGCUAGUUGGUGAGGUAACGGCUAACCAAGGCAACGAUGCGUAGCCGACCUGAGAGGGUGAUCGGCCACACUGGGACUGAGACACGGCCCAGACUCCUACGGGAGGCAGCAGUAGGGAAUCUUCCGCAAUGGACGAAAGUCUGACGGAGCAACGCCGCGUGAGUGAUGAAGGCUUUCGGGUCGUAAAACUCUGCUGUUAGGGAAGAACAAGUGCUAGUUGAAUAAGCUGGCACCUUGACGGUACCUAACCAGAAAGCCACGGCUAACUACGUGCCAGCCGCCGCCGUAA
rnacentral:rRNA from 1 species